GGAGUGGGUAGUUCAGUGGUAGAGUACAUGCUUUGUAUGUACAAUGUCCUGGGUUCAAUCCCCAGCUUCUCCC